UUCAGAGUUAUAACUGACUUAGCAAAGUCACGUUAUUUAUUUAAGCGAGAUGGAAUUUUAUUUUAUUUUUACUUAGGUCGUGAAUUAUUUCCGACUCAAGAAGUUAAUUAAAUCUGCGGAUUUAAUUUAGAUAUCAGAACAACGAACGAAUUAAAUCUACGGAUUUAAUUUAAAUUCAUUUUAUAACUUAUCGAUUUUAGAGAGAUAUCACAUGUCGAAAUCGAGAUUUAUGUAAAUACAGUAUCAAGCAGAAUCGAAGCCAGUAUUUUAUUACAGUUACAGAAUCACCGAGACAUAGAAAAUACAUCAUUAAUUCUUCUCUACAUUUUUUUUUCUUUCUUUUUCUUUCCAUUAAUUUUUGUUCCCCACUUCUCUACACCACUUUUCCCCACCACUCACUUUCCCCCACCGCUCAUCAUUUUUCCCACCACUCAUCACUCAAUUAUGCAAUAUUACACCAUUUUCACUCCCAAUCUUCACAAGGGAAUUCACCCAGGAGAAAUCUGCAUUCAUCGCCCUGCUGCCAAAAUUUCAGAGGUAAGCUUGGUUCAAUUUCUUCACAUUUCUUCCAUAUGCAACCUGCAUUGACCAAAUUCAUUUCAGUUAUUUCACACUUCACUAAACUCCAGCAACAACCAAGCAGGCAGUUGAACACAAGUGAGGUAAUUCACUAUCUCAAUCAACCAUUCCAGAAAACAUUCAUAUCACGCAUGAUUAUGGUUAGUUUCACAAUGCCAG
rnacentral:lncRNA from 1 species